AUACGUAGGUGACAAGCGUUAUCCGGAUUUACUGGGCGUAAAGGGCGUGUAGGCGGUCUUGCAAGUCAGAAGUGAAAUUCCUGAGCUCAACUCGGGCGCUGCUUCUGAAACUGCAGGACUUGAGUGCUGGAGGGGAUAGCGGAAUUCCUAGUGGAGCGGUAAAAUGCGCAGAUAUUAGGAAGAACACCGGUGGCGAAGGCGGCUAUCUGUACAGUACCUGACGCGGAGGCGCGAAAGCGUGGGGAGCAAACAGAAUUAGAUCCCCUGGUAGGCCACGCCGUAAACGAUGAAUACUAGGUGUAGGGGGUAUCGACUCCCUCUGUGCCGCAGUUAACACAAUAAGUAUUCCGCCUGGGGAGUACGGCCGCAAGGUUGAAACUCAAAGGAAUUGACGGGU
rnacentral:rRNA from 1 species